rnacentral:rRNA from 1 species
AUACAGAGGGUGCGAGCGUUAAUCGGAAUUACUGGGCGUAAAGCGCGCGUAGGCGGCUACUUAAGUCAGAUGUGAAAUCCCCGGGCUCAACCUGGGAACUGCAUCUGAUACUGGGUAGCUAGAGUUUAGGAGAGGGAAGUAGAAUUUCAGGUGUAGCGGUGAAAUGCAUAGAGAUCUGAAGGAAUACCAGUGGCGAAGGCGGCUUCCUGGCCUAAAACUGACGCUGAGGUGCGAAAGCGUGGGUAGCAAACGGGAUUAGAUACCCGGGUAGUCC